rnacentral:rRNA from 1 species
CCUACGGGAGGCUGCAGUGAGGAAUAUUGGUCAAUGGACGAGAGUCUGAACCAGCCAAGUAGCGUGAAGGAUGACUGCCCUAUGGGUUGUAAACUUCUUUUAUAUGGGAAUAAAAUGUUCCACGUGUGGGAUUUUGUAUGUACCAUAUGAAUAAGGAUCGGCUAACUCCGUGCCAGCAGCCGCGGUAAUACGGAGGAUCCGAGCGUUAUCCGGAUUUAUUGGGUUUAAAGGGAGCGUAGGUGGUUUGUUAAGUCAGUUGUGAAAGUUUGCGGCUCAACCGUAAAAUUGCAGUUGAAACUGGCAGUCUUGAGUACAGUAGAGGUAGGCGGAAUGCGUGGUGUAGCGGUGAAAUGCUUAGAGAUCACGAAGAACACCGAUUGCGAAGGCAGUUCACUGGACUGCAACUGACACUGAGGCUCGAAAGUGUGGGUAUCAAACAGGAUUAGAUACCCGUGUAGUC